GCAUGUGGGGGGUGGGGGUCAAGAAACGGUGUUAGGAAUGCACACUGUUUCCGUUUUCGAUCUGUACAGUUUCUGUGCUUGAAGUGGAAACUCUCAAUACGUGCUCAAGGCUAUGAUUUCAACAAUUCUAUGCUGACUUAUGUGCUUACUGUUGUGCAGGGAAAAUAAUUAAAGCGGCUGAAAGAUGAGGCACAGAAGGAGCAAAAUAUUGUGAGAAAGAAGAAGCUAAAAUGAUAUCAAGAAGCAACUGGAGUAGUUGUCGGAAGCACAAGAAAGACGAGAGAUACGACAUAACUGAUUUCAGAAAGUUACAAGGCAGGCAAUAUUGAUGCAACACUUACUUAAAAGUAAAAAGGAUAAUCUGUCUUCAGGACUCACGUGUUAUGACUAACCCCAGAAUUAGCUUAUGUGAAUAAUGCCGUGGUUCCUUGGGAGGAAAUGCAAUCUGGAGGCCUCAUGUUGCUCUUGCAUUUGGCAAGGCGGUGUCAUCUGAACUUAUACGAAGGAGUAGUUGCUAUUCUCGACAUUCAGGACGGUGUCAAACAUGAUGAUAAAGCGAAUGGGGAAGUUGCUGCAUCUCUCAUUUGAGAGAUACUUGAGAGUAAGGAGAUAGAUAAAGAAGAUGAACAUGAAAAGCUUUCAGAAAUUUGGAUUGUCUUCAUUAAAAUAGAUGAGACAGAGAAGCGAUGACACUUGGGUAAUGAUAUUAGAGAAAGCAAAAAAUGAUUCCAUUUUGCAAACAGGGAGGACUAGGGAUAACUGGUUAUAGUAGAGAUUUGCGAUGGAAGACGGGAAAGAAAAUGAAGCAAGUGAAACCCGAUACUUUCUUGAUAUUAUACACUUGAUGUUAAACAGAAAUCAUAAGGAAUGGAAAAACUCUCUUCACUGAGCCAGGUUAAUACCGACUAUGAUAUGACUCCUUUUCCAGGCUUUAAAUUAGUACCCUCCAUUAUGCCGUGCUUGUUUCUGUGUGCUCGGCUCUUGUAUUUAUUGAUGUGGAAACAGUUCAUUUGGUUUGAUCUCAAUGGUGACAAACUUGCAUACAGGCACUGAAAAACUGCGGAAGCCGCAGUGACAUGACACAUAUAUAAGAGAGAUAUUGAGCUUUCUAGCUCAUGUCUAUUUUUUGGGCACCGAUACCGCAUCCCAGAAGUCGCUACAUUUCAAACUGCCAUGAUAAAUAGAUAAAUAAAUAGCGUGGGUUGCCUCAUUGAGUUCAAGAUACAGAAGGUGGUAACCCCUGGUGCAAGACGAACGAUUGACCUUGGGCACUGGGAGCCAGGGAAACAGGCUGCCUUGUAUGAUUA